ACGGGCAAUUAUUAGUUAUACAAAUAAAGUGACACAUGGUAAUUUCUCUAUUUUUUUAAAAAAAUCAAAUAUUUCUAAUAAAACACGUGGCAGCACUCAUCUCCCCCGCUUCUCUUUUGCUCUGGAAAAUUUAAAAAGGAAACAAAAAGGCAAAGAAAAAAACCUAGGUUUCACGCUGCAAUCCCCAAAACGCAUUACCUUCGCCCAGCCCAUUCUCUCUCUCU
rnacentral:lncRNA from 1 species